rnacentral:rRNA from 1 species
GGCCUGUCUAACGAAGUAAGUAACGCAAGCAAGGAGUUGCUUUGCUACACCUAUAUUGCGUAGCUAGGCCUGGUUAGCAAAAGAUCGAAGGCGGUGGCACAGAAUCGGAGGCCCCGACUGUUUACUAAAAACACAACACAGUGCAAUCAUUAAUAUGAUAGUAUACUGUGUGAAAUUUGCCCGAUGCCAUUAAUAUAAGAGCGGUCAUGGGGAACUGUGACUAAUCGAAAAUCUGGUUAAUAGCGGUCUUAACUAUGAGGAUCCUAAGGUAGCAAAAUCAAUUGGCCGUUAAAUGCGGUCCGGUAUCAAUAAUGUAACGAUGGCCUCACUGUCUCUACAACUUGCUCAGUGAAAUUGAAUUACGCGUGCAGAUGCGCGUUGCCUCCAGGGGGACGGGAAGACCCUAUGCAGCUUCU